UACGUAGGGACCAAGCGUUGUUCGGAUUUACUGGGCGUAAAGGGCGCGUAGGCGGCGCGGUAAGUCACUUGUGAAAUCUCUGAGCUUAACUCAGAACGGCCAAGUGAUACUGCAGUGCUAGAGUGUGGAAGGGGCAAUCGGAAUUCUUGGUGUAGCGGUGAAAUGCGUAGAUAUUAGGAAGAACACCAGUGGCGAAGGCGGCUCACUGGUCCGGUACUGACGCUGAGGUGCGAAAGCGUGGGGAGCAAACAGG
rnacentral:rRNA from 1 species